AACGAACGCUGGCGGCAGGCCUAACACAUGCAAGUCGAGCGCCCCGCAAGGGGAGCGGCGGACGGGUUAGUAACGCGUGGGAAUGUACCCUUUUCUACGGAAUAGCCUCGGGAAACUGAGAUUAAUACCGUAUACGCCCGGUAACGGGGAAAGAUUUAUCGGAGAAGGAUCAGCCCGCGUAAGAUUAGAUAGUUGGUGGGGUAAUGGCCUACCAAGUCUACGAUCUUUAGCUGGUUUGAGAGGAUGAUCAGCAACACUGGGACUGAGACACGGCCCAGACUCCUACGGGAGGCAGCAAUGGGGAAUCUUAGACAAUGGGCGCAAGCCUGAUCUAGCCAUGCCGCGUGAGUGAAGAAGGCCUUAGGGUCGUAAAGCUCUUUCAGUGGGGAAGAUAAUGACGGUACCCACAGAAGAAACCCCGGCUAACUCCGUGCCAGCAG
rnacentral:rRNA from 1 species